AUGACCUUGGUGUUCACCUUGAUGCUUGAGGUGCUCCUGUUCCUGAGAGGAGCCGGAGCCCAGUCGGUGACCCAGCCUGACGGCCACAUCACUGUCUCUGAAGGAGCCCGUCUGGAGCUGAGGUGCAACUACUCAACUUCUUUUUCGUCCUAUCUCUUCUGGUACAUACAGUACCCCAAUCAAGGACUCCAGCUUCUCCUGAAGUACACAUCUGGAAACAGCCUUGUCUCAGGUAUCAAAGGUUUUGAGGCUGAAUUUAGGAGCAGUGAGAAGUCCUUCCACCUGAGGAAAACAUCAGCCCAUUGGAAAGACUCGGCCAAGUACUUCUGUGCUCUGAGUGACACAGUGACUAAGACUACAGUGGGAGCUGAACACAAAUCUCCUGAGACUUAG